rnacentral:rRNA from 1 species
AGUAACGCGUGGAAACCUGCCGUAUACUGGGGGAUAACACUUAGAAAUAGGUGCUAAUACCGCAUAAGCGCACAGCUUCGCAUGAAGUGGUGUGAAAAACUCUGGUGGUAUACGAUGGUUCCGCGUCUGAUUAGCUUGUUGGUGGGGUAAUGGCUCACCAAGGCGACGAUCAGUAGCCGGCCUGAGAGGGUGAACGGCCACACUGGGACUGAGACACGGCCCAGACUCCUACGGAAGGCAGCAG